rnacentral:rRNA from 1 species
AGAGGCCCAAAUUGACAGGAACCGGCGUAAAGAGUGGUUAAGAGAAACUAUCCAACUAAAGCCGAACACCUUCAGAGCUGUCAUACGCUUCCGAAGGCAUGAAGCCCCACCACGAAAGUGGCUUUAUUUUCCCGACUCCACGAAAGCUGCGGAACAAACUGGGAUUAGAGACCCCACUAUGCCCAGCCCUAAACUUUGAUGGCACACUACAACCGCCAUCCGCCAGGGAACUACGAGCAUUA